GACCCGUUGGAUGGGACGGGAUGC
rnacentral:siRNA from 1 species